ensembl:ncRNA Y55H10A.3 ncRNA
CGGAAGGCAGGCAAUGAUUUUGAAGAGAAUGAUGUUUCGAAGUUCACGGUAUCGAAUCAUGUAGAUCAUGAAGUUCACCAUAGUCUGAAA